UCGUCGGUAGUGGUGAGGACGACGUGAUCUCAGAAGUGUGUUUGGUGGGUAAAAAAUUUGCUACAGUGGAGGUAGAGAUGGAGGCGGGUUGUGAAGGGCUAUAGAGACGGUGGAGGAGGUUCAGAAAGAAGAAAAAAGAGGAUUACAACACAGUCUCGGCAGGAACGGAGGCGAAGAGGGUGGGGUAUAAGCGAACACAGAUGAGGGGGUAUCGGACAGAGGCGAGGAGGGGCAUCUCAAAGGGCGGCGGGGAGCAUAGCCUUGGUGGGGUCAAAGGCGAGGAGGGCGGAUGGUGCAUGGACAUGGGCGAGGGUGCGGGGGCAGAGGCGAGGCGGGCCCCCUCUGCCUCUCUCUUCGGAAUGGGAAAAAAAAGAACGAGAGAAAAAAGAGAGAGAGAGAGAGAAAGAAAUAAAGGUGUUUUGUCCAGUUUUCUAAAAAUCUAGUCCGACUCUACAAAAUCGAAAAAGAUGGCCCAGUUUUACAAAAGCUCAAAAUUUAUCACGGAAUAAUUUUUCUACUGGUGCAGCAUAAUUUACUAGCAUCCAAAUAGGGCAUAUAA
rnacentral:lncRNA from 1 species